GACAGAGGUGCCGAGCGUUAGGCGGAAUCACUGGGCUUAAAGCGUGUGUAGGCGGGCGGGCAAGUACCUUGUGAAAUCCCACGGCUCACCCGUGGAACUGCUCGGUAUACUGGUUGUCUUGAGCCUUCUAGGGGCGAGUGGAACAAAUGGUGGAGCGGUGAAAUGCGUAGAUAUCAUUUGGAACGCCAAUGGUGAAAACAACUCGCUGGGGAAGUGCUGACGCUGAGACACGAAAGCCAGGGGAGCGAACGGG
rnacentral:rRNA from 1 species